AUGAACGCUGGCGGCGUGCCUAACACAUGCAAGUUGAGCGAUUUACUUCGGUAAAGAGCGGCGGACGGGUGAGUAACGCGUGGGUAACCUACCCUGUACACACGGAUAACAUACCGAAAGGUAUGCUAAUACGGGAUAAUAUAUUUGAGAGGCAUCUCUUGAAUAUCAAAGGUGAGCCAGUACAGGAUGGACCCGCGUCUGAUUAGCUAGUUGGUAAGGUAACGGCUUACCAAGGCGACGAUCAGUAGCCGACCUGAGAGGGUGAUCGGCCACAUUGGAACUGAGACACGGUCCAAACUCCUACGGGAGGCAGCAGUGGGGAAUAUUGCACAAUGGGCGAAAGCCUGAUGCAGCAACGCCGCGUGAGUGAUGAAGGCCUUCGGGUCGUAAAACUCUGUCCUCAAGGAAGAUAAUGACGGUACUUGAGGAGGAAGCCCCGGCUAACUACGUGCCAGCAGCCGCGGUAAUACGUAGGGGGCUAGCGUUAUCCGGAUUUACUGGGCGUAAAGGGUGCGUAGGCGGUCUUUCAAGUCAGGAGUGAAAGGCUACGGCUCAACCGUAGUAAGCUCUUGAAACUGGGAGACUUGAGUGCAGGAGAGGAGAGUGGAAUUCCUAGUGUAGCGGUGAAAUGCGUAGAUAUUAGGAGGAACACCAGUUGCGAAGGCGGCUCUCUGGACUGUA
rnacentral:rRNA from 1 species